rnacentral:rRNA from 1 species
AUGAACGCUAGCGGCAGGCUUAAUACAUGCAAGUCGAGGGGUAGCAAGAUUGUAGCAAUACAAUUGUUGACGACCGGCAAACGGGUGCGGAACACGUACACAACCUUCCUACAAGUGGGGAAUAGCCCAGAGAAAUUUGGAUUAAUACCCCGUAACAUAGCGAUGUGGCAUCACAUUGCUAUUAUAGCUUCGGCGCUUGUUGAUGGGUGUGCGGCUGAUUAGAUAGUUGGCGGGGUAACGGCCCACCAAGUCUACGAUCAGUAGCUGAUGUGAGAGCAUGAUCAGCCACACGGGCACUGAGACACGGGCCCGACUCCUACGGGAGGCAGCAGUAAGGAAUAUUGGACAAUGGACGCAAGUCUGAUCCAGCCAUGCCGCGUGAAGGAUUAAGGUCCUCUGGAUUGUAAACUUCUUUUAUAAGGGACGAAAAAAGGUCUUUCUAGAUCGUCUGACGGUACCUUAUGAAUAAGCACCGGCUAACUCCGUG